rnacentral:misc_RNA from 1 species
UGGAGCACCACUGAAGAGACAAGGUACACCUCUCUUCAUUACCCCCCACCCAAACUGUUGUUUUUUGGGCAUUUGGGGAUGGAGUUGGCAUUUUCAUCCCUUCGAUUUUCAUCUCACCAACACAAUGAUUACCGCUACAGAAAGUUAACUGCUCCACCUUCUUGUAAUGCUGCUAACUUGGUGCUCAAAUCUUCCAACAACUUGUCAUCUUUACCUGGAUUGAGCAAAAACUUUUCAAACACCCUUUUGUGUAGAAACUACAGGCACACUUCCAUCCGGGCAUGUUCUCAAGUUGGUACUGCUGGAUCUGAUCCAGUGUUGGAUAAAAUUUCACAAUUUAAAGAUGCCUUUUGGAGAUUUUUGAGGCCCCACACUAUACGUGGGACUGUGCUAGGAUCCGCCUCAUUGGUGACUCGAGCUUUAAUUGAGAAUCCGAACCUAAUCAGGUGGUCAUUAGUAUUGAAGGCCUUUUCUGGUCUUAUUGCCCUAAUAUGUGGGAAUGGUUAUAUAGUGGGCAUCAAUCAAAUAUAUGACAUUGGCAUUGACAAGGUAAACAAGCCGUACUUACCCAUAGCUGCCGGAGAUCUUUCAGUUCAGUCUGCAUGGAUCUUGGUGUUAUUGUUCGCUGUGUCUGGCCUUCUUAUUGUUGGACUGAAUUUUGGCCCCUUCAUUACUUCUCUUUACUGUCUUGGUCUCUUUCUAGGUACCAUUUAUUCAGUCCCACCAUUUCGGCUGAAGAGAUUUGCUGUCAUAGCGUUCCUAAUAAUUGCCACGGUGCGUGGAUUUCUUCUUAAUUAUGGUGUGUAUUAUGCCACCAGGGCUGCUCUGGGACUAAGCUUUGAGUGGAGCUCACCUGUUGCAUUUAUUACUACCUUUGUGACUGUGUUUGCACUAGUCAUUGCCAUCACCAAGGAUUUACCAGAUGUGGAGGGUGAUCGCAAGUUUCAGAUAUCUACCUUGGCAACAAAGCUUGGUGUGAGAAACAUAGCAUUUCUCGGCUCUGGUCUAUUAUUAACAAAUUACAUUGGUGCUGUAGUUGCGGCAAUAUACAUGCCCCAAGCAUUCAGGAGUAGCUUGAUGAUACCUGUACAUGUCAUCUUAGCAUCGUGUUUAGUUUUCCAGGCAUGGUUGUUGGAAAGAGCAAAUUACACCAAGGAAGCAAUCUCAGCAUAUUAUAGACUUAUAUGGAAUCUUUUCUAUGCGGAGUACAUCAUCUUCCCUUUCAUCUAACAACUACUUGAUUAAGGUUUUUGUUCGAUGGAGCUCGAAGAAAUGCACAGGAAAAUUGUCGAUAGAUGGGGGAUGGAGAAUUUCUUUAUCCUGUUGUUGUAUAUUCUUAGGAAAUUCAUCAAUCUAUUCUUAGGAGCAAUGUUUCUUGUAUGAAUCAAUUUUGUCUAUUGUAACACUCUCUAUCUCCAUACGAAAGGAAGACUAGUCUAUGGCUAUGCCUAUAAAUUUGUUCAACCUCAGGAGGAUAAGGUGGUAAGUGGAUAAAUAUAUCAAGG